rnacentral:rRNA from 1 species
UUGGAGGGCAAGUCUGGUGCCAGCAGCCGCGGUAAUUCCAGCUCCAAUAGCGUAUAUUAAAGUUGUUGCAGUUAAAAAGCUCGUAGUUGAAUUUCGGGGUCAGUAGGUUGGUCAUGCCACUGGUAUGUACUGGUCUCACUGAUUCCUCCUUUGAUGAGCUGUAAUGCCAUUAAUUUGGUGUUGCGGGGAAUCUGGACUGUUACUUUGAAAAAAUUAGAGUGUUUAAAGCAGGCUAACGCCUGAAUACAUUAGCAUGGAAUAAUGAAAUAGGACGUUCGAUCCUAUUUUGUUGGUUUCUAGGAUUGACGUAAUGAUUAAUAGGGAUAGUUGGGGGCAUUAGUAUUCAAUUGUCAGAGGUGAAAUUCUUGGAUUUAUUGAAGACUAACUACUGCGAAAGCAUUUGCCAAGGAUGUUUUCAUUAAUCAAGAACGAAAGUUAGGGGAUCGAAGACGAUCAGAUACCGUCGUAGUCUUAACCAUAAACUAUGCCGACUAGGGAUCGGAUGAUGUUAAUUUUUUAAUGACUCAUUCGGCGCCUUACGGGAAAC